CGACCUUUCGUGGCUGCCGGGCUGGGCGGCGGCAGAGCGGCCGUGAGCCCCGGCGGUCCUGCCGGGUGCCCCAGCGGGCCUUCCAGGACUGUUCGUGGCCUGGGGGAGUCCUGGGGGCCAGAAGAGGACCGGCCAGUGCGGGUCCGGGGGGUGCCGGAGGCCCCGAGCAGGGGAGAAUAGCUACUUCAUUCAACUAAGGACUUACUAAAUCUUCCUCCUUAUGGGCAGUUGGUCAAGAUGUAAGACAUUGACCCAUCCUCAACAAGUCAUGGUACCUGCCUGUAUUCGCCAUGCCAAGCAGCAAGCACAUACUUCGGAUGCAUCACCUCACAGCCAUGGAUGAUCAGAACCCCUCUGGGGAUUCUGUUCCCAUCCCAGACGCCAAGAUAACAGUCCCAGGGAAGGGAAACAAGCCGUGUGCAUCCUUCUGGAUAAGAGCAGCAGCAAAUGCAAACUGAUUAUCAAGCCCAGAGAGAAGACGAAGCCGUUCAGGACAAGUUGUUGGCUUCCCCAGUAGGACAAAGAGUUCCCUAAGGUUGCAAUGCACUGAAUUGGUAUAAUGGCCUGCUACUGGAGGAAAGUACUGCCCUGGAGAUGAGGCCAUCUGAAGUCCUCCUCUUCACCCCACCCCACCCUGGCCUUCCCCAACCAUCAGGUUGCAGAGGACUUGUAGGGCUUAUGUUCCUCAU
rnacentral:lncRNA from 12 species